GUAUUCAAUAAGCUCAGGAACUUGGAUGCUUACCCGAAAAUCAAUGAGGAUUUCUACAACCGUACCCUCUCCGGCGGUGUUAUCACCCUCGUCUCCUCCAUCGCCAUGCUCAUGCUUUUCUUCUCCGAGUUCAGACUGUAUCUCCAUACUGUUACUAAGACUAGGCUUAUUGUAGACACUUCAAGAGGAGAAAAAUUGCAUAUCAAUGUAAAGUUCCUUACUUUAUGCAGUAUUGAAAUUGAAAUGUUUUCACCAUA